UGGGGAAUAUUGGACAAUGGGCGCAAGCCUGAUCCAGCCAUGCCGCGUGUGUGAAGAAGGCCUUUUGGUUGUAAAGCACUUUAAGCGAGGAGGAGGCUACUUGGAUUAAUACUCUAGGAUAGUGGACGUUACUCGCAGAAUAAGCACCGGCUAACUCUGUGCCAGCAGCCGCGGUAAUACAGAGGGUGCGAGCGUUAAUCGGAUUUACUGGGCGUAAAGCGUGCGUAGGCGGCUUCUUAAGUCGGAUGUGAAAUCCCUGAGCUUAACUUAGGAAUUGCAUUCGAUACUGGGAAGCUAGAGUAUGGGAGAGGAUGGUAGAAUUCCAGGUGUAGCGGUGAAAUGCGUAGAGAUCUGGAGGAAUACCGAUGGCGAAGGCAGCCAUCUGGACUAAUACUGACGCUGAGGUACGAAAGCAUGGGGAGCAAACAGG
rnacentral:rRNA from 1 species